rnacentral:rRNA from 1 species
CAGCAGCCGCGGGAAUACGAAGGGUGCAAACGUUGCUCGGAAUUACUGGGCGUAAAGCGUACGUAGGCGGUUUUGUAAGUUAGAGGUGAAAGCCCGGAGCUCAACUCCGGAAUUGCCUUUAAGACUGCAUCACUUGAACGUCGGAGAGGUGAGUGGAAUUCCGAGUGUAGAGGUGAAAUUCGUAGAUAUUCGGAAGAACACCAGUGGCGAAGGCGGCUCACUGGACGACUGUUGACGCUGAGGUACGAAAGCGUGGGGAGCAAACAGGAUUAGAUACCCGCGUAGUCCCUGUCUCUUAUAC